rnacentral:rRNA from 1 species
AGUGAACGCUGGCGGUAGGCCUAACACAUGCAAGUCGAACGGCAGCACAGUAAGAGCUUGCUCUUACGGGUGGCGAGUGGCGGACGGGUGAGGAAUACAUCGGAAUCUACUUUUUCGUGGGGGAUAACGUAGGGAAACUUACGCUAAUACCGCAUACGACCUACGGGUGAAAGCAGGGGAUCUUCGGACCUUGCGCGAUUGAAUGAGCCGAUGUCGGAUUAGCUAGUUGGGGGGGUAAAGGCCCACCAAGGCGACGAUCCGUAGCUUGUCUGAGAGGAUGAUCGGCCACACUGGAACUGAGACACGGUCCAGACUCCUACGGGAGGCAGCAGUAGGGAAUAUUGGGCAAUGGGCGCAAGCCUGACGGAGCCAUGCCGCGUGAGUGAUGAAGGUCUUCGGGUCGUAAAACUCUGUUAUUAGGGAAGAACAGCAGUGUGAGAAUCCGCGGAUGUUUUGACGGUACCUAAUGAGUAAGCACCGGCUAACUACGUG